GUGACAAUCAUAGUAAUAAUCAUAUUUAAUGUUGAACAGGAAUUAAUUUAAAAUUAAUUCAUAUUGUGAAAUAGAAUUCCAAUUCAAUAGAAUUCCAAUUGAAAACUGAACAUACUGUAUCAUUCGCGAAAUGUUUGCACAAAGACAAAACGCAGCUCUUCACCUUCCCGAGAAACAAAAUAUUCAGUUUUACCUCUCACCCAUGUAAAGGUCAGAGAGCUUUAUAUGGAAACGAUGACUUCUUAUGAGCAUAAAUAGAAACCGCCUGCACCAGUGUCAGAGCUGCUGUUCUAGAGAAUUCCCCAACCACUUCUGACCAAUCAGGAUCCAGACUUUCAUGUGAAGCUUAAUGAUAUCUAUUCUGUUAGAUGACACUGUUUCUUAUUUCCUCUUUAGGUAAAAGCCACGUUGGGAAUGAAUGUGUUUAGCGCUGUGGUUGCAGGCUUAGAUAUCAUUCUGUUCUCAUUGGACAUGUUGAUUGGCAUUUUGUUUCAUGUAUUCUCUGGAGUGUUGUUGGUUUUCUUUCUGCUCGAGUUCAUCAUUUCUAUCUGCACUUCUGUCUUCGCCUGUAAAGCCACCAGCUGCUCUGCAACUAAACCGAUGUAUUCACAGGCGGUGACUACAGAGGUGAUGUACACAUUGCAGAUGAACAAUCCUGAUUACUACUUCAACCAAGAUCCAUAACAACCACCUGUAAUCAGCUACUGUGGUUUAGUUCUUUUCUGAAACUUGCCCUACUUUUGCAGACAAAUCCUACUUCCUGUUUCAGCUUCAUGUCUAAAAAUGACCUCUGAAUAAAUUAGCAUUGAUGUAGCGGUGACUUUUAACCCUGUAUUCUGCUUCGAUUCUAUUGUCAUUGUGCAGUUUACAUUUUCUAAGAUGAUGAAAUGUAGUUAGCUUCUCACUGAAGAGUAAGAUAAAUGAAAGCAUUUGCUGUAAAAUGAUAGUGCAAGAUUACAGAUGGCAAUAGCAGUUAAACUGUACUAUAAUGUUUAAUUGUAUGAUUAACAGAUAAACAACAAUUAAAAUAA